rnacentral:rRNA from 1 species
UUGGUGGAGAAGUUAAAAGUUGAACACGGCAAACAUAGUGAGAGACAUGUGAGCAAGCACCAAAGGCUUCACAGGUCUCUACUUGGAGCAAAGGCCAUCUAGCUGGCAGUUUUUACUUAGCUGGAAGCAAUGGCCUGAGAGGGCGCACACAUCCAGUUUCUAUAGCUAUAAUACCCAGAUGAUGUGUAUAAUGUUGGAUACAAAUCCAGACGUCAUGCGUCGGGAAUGCCCUCAUGUGCAUCUGGGCCAAAAAAGCUUAAUUACUUAAGGAGGCUGUCAGUGAAGUGAUGCCACUUAAAUUUUUCAUCACGCACAACACGGGCUUUCUAUGUCUUUAACUCAAAAAACCUGCGGGAACCUUGUUGACAUCUCCCAAGCCACCUUCUAAGUUUAAACCCACAGAGAGAGACAUGAAACACCCCCAGGGCCUAUAAAUAGCAGCCUCGCAGUAGAGACAACAACAAAACCACCAGAGCUUCUCCAAGAGCAAAGGACUUCCAGGAGCCAACAUACUAGAUACAGAAAGCAUUAGCUCAGUAGAAUCCCACAAGGGAAGCUUUACCUGCUCCAAGGAUGUCCUCACCGAGCUCGAACUCAGAGUGGAGCAAGAAGGAGAACAAGAUGUUUGAGGAGGCACUCGCCUACUACGGCGUGGGAGCCCCCAACCUCUGGGAGAAGGUGGCCAGCGCCAUGGGGGGCACCAAGUCCGCCGAGGAGGUGCGCCGCCACUUCCAGUUCCUCGUUGACGACGUCAAGAACAUCGAGCACGGACGCAUCCCCUUCCCCAAGUACAAGACCCAGGGCUUCUGGACCUAAAAGGAUGAAGCAGUGUAAACUCCAGUGGACAGUGAACAAAGUUGUACAAACUAGAUCUCUUAAGAAUGGACUGAUGUUAUAGGGGUGUGCAAGGCAAUUCAGCAUUGAUUAGAAUAGCAGGAAGAAAAGGAGUUGUAUAUUGUGUGUACAAAGUAUUAUUAGGUUAUGUCCAAGGUUAAGUCUCUAUGUUGCUGUAGAUUAUCAUCUAGAUUCAUGAACUGCAUGUUGUUCAUUAUCCCCUCAAACCAAGUCGUCAACUAAACCAUCAUGUAAACUCAUGUAUUUGUGGUAUUUGUAAGAAGUCGUACCUGUAGCAUUUUGUCGCCCCCCAAGAUCUGGUUUAGCUGGCCACCAUGUUCAAUUUGGACUCCACAGGUCCAAAAAGCACACAGAAUCCUUGUCACCAC